ensembl:lncRNA novel transcript, antisense to CNRIP1and PPP3R1
ACUGCUGGGAAACAGGCAGUGAGUGGAAGCAGCAGCAGCUCUGGAGAGUAAGUGGGUCUUAUGUAAAGUGCCAUUUGCCACAUAUUGUUAUUUCCAAAGGAUUUCAGAAUACCCUCGAACUCGAAAAACAGAAAAAUAGGAAACUUUCCAAAGGAAAACAACAACAACAACAACAACAACAACAACAACAGACACCCAGUGAGUCUUAAGUGCCUCUGAGAAGGUAGAGUUGAAGAGGGAGCAAACAAAAUUAAGAGAUCAACCCUGCAAUCCAGAAACUCAGCUGAUGGCCAGUGUUACAUAGAGCCAAGAUUUAAGUGCCACUUUGCUGCUCUUCCAGUAAACAAGACAGAUAACCAACUCAUGAGUUGCUCCAUUUUGCAUUUCUACCAGCAAUGUGACUACUCUCCCCUACCUUCAUCAACACAAGCCAUGCAGCCACCGCAGCAGGUGAUGCCUGGAUUCUGCUGCAUCCAGGCUGCAGAUGCCUGAUACCUGACACCCUCGGAACUGACGUCUGCACUGAGAGCACAUCUCCCAACUGCAGAGCCCAGGUGAUGGUGCUGCUGCCAGCAGAAGUGCUGAUGGGCCAAGCUCCUACAAAGCUUUCUUGGUCUUCUGGAGCCUUCAGUGUGUUGAAGCCACACCAAAGCAGAAGGCGCUUUCUCAUUAGUGGAAUAGUAUGUUAAUUGGACACCAAAGCUAUGCCAUAAAAUCAUCAACACUGUAUAAUUGUUGCUAUUGAAAUGCUUAUGGUUCAUUAUUAAACAUGCUCUUAUUAAAAA